CUCAUGAGACUUGUAUAGGAAUUAAGUGCCGUAAUCGGGCCCUCGGCCUGUUAAAUAACUGGCGAAGAAAGGGCCGGGCAAGACCGGUGCCAGCCGCCGCGGUAAUACCGGCGGCUCGAGUGGUGGCCGCUAUUACUGGGCUUAAAGCGUCCGUAGCUGGGUUGUUAAGUCUCCUGGGAAAUCCAUCGGCUCAACCGAUGGGCGUUCAGGAGAUACUGGCAACCUAGGGACCGGGAGAGGUGAGAGGUACUCCAGGGGUAGGAGUGAAAUCCUGUAAUCCUUGGGGGACCACCUGUGGCGAAGGCGUCUCACCAGAACGGCUCCGACAGUGAGGGACGAAAGCUGGGGGAGCAAACCGGAUUAGAUACCCGGGUAGUCCCAAGCUGUAAACGAUGCGCGUUAGGUGUAUCGGUGACCACGAGUCACCGAGGUGCCGAAGGGAAACCGUGAAACGUGCCGCCUGGGAAGUACGGUCGCAAGGCUGAAACUUAAAGGAAUUGGCGGGGGAGCACCACAACGGGUGGAGCCUGCGGUUUAAUCGGACUCAACGCCGGGAAGCUCACCGGAUAAGACAGCUGGAUGAUAGCCGGGCUGAAGACUCUGCUUGACUAGCUGAGAGGAGGUGCAUGGCCGUCGUCAGUUCGUACUGUGAAGCAUCCUGUUAAGUCAGGCAACGAGCGAGACCCACGCCAACAGUUGCCAGCAUGUCCUCCGGGAUGGUGGGGACACUGUUGGGACCGCCUCUGCUAAAGAGGAGGAAGGAAUGGGCAACGGUAGGUCAGCAUGCCCCGAAUUAUCCGGGCUACACGCGGGCUACAAUGGUCAGGACAAUGGGUAUCGACACCGAGAGGUGAAGGCAAUCUCCUAAACCUGUCCUAUUCCGGAUUGUGGGCUGCAACUCGCCCACAUGAAGCUGAAUCCGUAUAAUCGCGUGUCAAUGCGCGUAAUCUCCC
rnacentral:rRNA from 1 species